rnacentral:lncRNA from 10 species
UGAUGUUCCUACAGUCACACAGAUUCCACUAAGUCAACAAAAGUAUUCCUCUCUGGCUCAAGAAGAAUGAAAGACUAGAGUUAUGCCUCCAAUGUCCACUUCCAGAUCAGCCUUAAAGGAGUAAGAAAAAGAGUCCGGGACAUGUUGCAUAUUUACGACGCCAAAAUAGGAAGUGUGUGAUGCCCACUCGACCGCAAUGAAUUCCAAGGCAUAAAGGCCCCAGAAUCUCUGGAUACAAGAAGUCCUCACUCUGCCAUCCCUUCUUGAGUGGUGUUGGUGGACUUCCUAUGUGAUCCCGAGGUGGAGUCAGCUGGUGUAAGAGUUGGCAACCAGCUCUGCUCCAUAGACGGCAUUCACUUAGGAAGCACGACUGGCGGCUUCAUGCGAUUGGAGAGAAAAGGGGAGAGGGGGAGGUGAAGAGAGGAGGAGGAGCCCUCGGCAGAAUUCCAAGUUCCGUGGCACUGGCCCCACGGAACUCUGGAAACAAGAAUCAGGCUUGGGCUGCGCAGGUUCCAAGUCACAGGGCUUCCAUGGCUGGCAAGCGUCGAGCCGGAAAUUCAGUUGAAUAGAGCCCUAAAUGUUUUUUUGUUUGACAUUCAUGCUUAACAGAAAAUGAUGAAUCCAUUAGCAACUCCUUCCGUUGCCAAAAGAAACAGACUUGCACUUGUAGAUUGCUUUCAUUCUGCGCUAUCAAGCCACUGCAUGUGCUGCUUUCACAAAGCUGACAGUCAUCUAUCAUUUUUAAAUGGGUUUAGAGGUACAGUCGUCUUUGUCUGAAGUGUGUGGAUGUGUCAGCGUGAAUGUGACUCAUUAAAACAGACUGACCCAAACAGUUUAAAUGGGAUUCACAGUAGGGGGAAAAUGUUUUAUUUGAGGUUUGUUUGGAAUUAUUUUGAAGUUUGUCACUAAUUUUGAAAAACAAUGGGCUCAUUUUCCUAACUUCUUUUUCUUCCCUGAGAUGUGUCUAAGAGAACAAAUAGCUAUAUUAUGCACUGUCUCAAAAACAUGCUCUUUGGAAAUGAAAAAAGAUUCUAUGAUUAUGAAAUGUCAAGAGUUCCCUUGUGCUCUAGAACAUUUCACAUACUUAAAUGACUUCAUGAAACUCCCCCAAGUUUCUCUCUCUCUCCUCAGACCUUUAUCCCCAAUCCAUAAAUGACAUCUUUGAACAUAAUCUUUAGACCCGUUUUUCAUCAUUUCUAUUAGCCUUUCAAGGAAUGCCUUUUGAAGUCAAAGAUUUAACAUAUGGAUUAAAUCUUCCAUAAAAUGGGUUUAAAUAUUAAGAGAAAAACACCUGGCUGUAUGUAUCUGGGUUCCACAGGACAUUGUAUUGUUUUAAAUGCUUCAAGAUGUUCAAUAAAACUGAAUAUGGCCAAACUCAUGUCCAAUGUGGGCCUGUGGGCCCUCAAACCUGUUUCCAAAUGGCUGUUUCUCUCUCUCUCAUCUCGCAUUAGUGUGAAGUUCCUAAAGCAAUAAUAGAAGGGCCAAUAGCAGAAAUUAAGAAAUUAAUUAAAUUAUAUUAUAUGUAUAUAUAUAAUUAAGAAAUUAUAUAUAUAUCAAUGACAAAAUUAAUUUAUCAAGAGUUUCAAUAUAACUAGUAUAAUUGAUCUUCCAAGUUUUCUCUAUGGGCACAGAGGGAUAUAUUCAAAAUGUUUAACACCAAUAAGUCAUGGGCACAACCAAGUAGAACAGACAUCAUGGCAGGGUCCUGGAAGCUCCUUGCUGGAUGAAGGAGAUUAAAGGAGCCCCAGCAUUGACAUCAAGGAGGCUGGGACAGUGUGUUGGGGCAGGGGGCACUGAGAGUAGUGGUUAUUUAUUAACUCGUAGAGAUGAAUUUCAAUAUUUUAAUACAGAGCUGUACCAGUGUGUAUUGGCUGAAUUCCAGCCCUACUUUUACUCCUUCGUUGCAUAAAUUCCUAGGAUUUGAGGAAACAAAAGCAGGUAUACCUUCUUAUGUUUGAGCACUGCUCUAUACUUACCCGCUUUUUUUCGUGUACGAACCCAAAUAAACUGAGUGUCUUCUAAGGCAUCAAGCACUAUUCAAGCUGUUCUCAUAGGAAUUUGUUGUUAAAAGUGAGGAAUGAGGAUUAAAACAUUAAAAAGGGUAAAACAGUAAUUAUGGUAUUAUUUAAACAUUUCUAAAAUUUCUUAGUCUUCACCCCAUUUUACACAGAAGACUUCUAAAUUUUUAGCACUACAAGGCACAUUUGUAGAAUAAAAUACGUAGAAUGUGUAUUUAACUUAUGUCAUAUCUUUCCUUUAAGGAGUUAAAAUGAGUUGUCAUAAUGAUUUGACUUAAUUAACCAAUUCAGUCAUUCCUUGCCACCACCACCACUCCCAAAAAAAGGUAAAUAUUAUGAUACCCUUUUGCACUGGAAAUGAAAACAAAUGCAAUUUUUAAGAUCCUAAGCCAAUCAAAGACCAGCUCAAAUCAAGCUCUUGCAUCCAAGACUGCUUUGACUGAGUUGCCAAGUGAUCCCACAAGUAACAUCUAUGUAGGAGGAAGGGGAAAUGCGAGCACUGUAAGACCUCAUCCUUUAAGGAAGUAUAAUUGGAUGUCUCUUGUGUAACUUAGGCCAUUUCAGAGCUUAAGAUAAAUACACAUCAAAUAUAAGGGGGAAAAAGAGGAAUGUAUUGAUUUUAUCCCACUGACAAAAAGAAAAAACAGUUUCUAUUGAAAUACAUACAAAUAUAUUUUAAAACAUUUGAUAAAGAAAACACAAAAAGAAACAGGAUGGACGGAAAGUUAUAUUCCCUCUAAAGUUACUGAGGACCAAAAUGCAGCAGUUUAUUUCCAGUUUUCCCAG